GCUCUCGUAGUGAAAUGGAUAUCACGCUUGGCUUCGGACCAAGUAUUUUAGGUUCGAAUCCUAACGGGAGCA
rnacentral:tRNA from 1 species